AUGGCUCGGCCGCUGCUGGCAGUGGCCGCCAUGGUGCUCGUGCUGGCCGCCGCUGGCGCCCAUGGCUUCCGGAUCAAGGAGGCGAGCGUGGCCAGCAUCCAGCUCGGCUUCAACAACGGCAGCCUCACCUCCGUGGACCUCGUCCGGUUCUACCUGGACCGCAUCCGCGGCCUCAACCCGCUCCUCCGCCCCGUCAUCGAGGUCGCGCCGACGCCGAGCGCCGCUCCUCCUCGUCCGGCAAGUGUGUGA
rnacentral:rRNA from 1 species